AGUGAACGCUGGCGGUAGGCCUAACACAUGCAAGUCGAACGGCAGCACAGUAAGAGCUUGCUCUUACGGGUGGCGAGUGGCGGACGGGUGAGGAAUACAUCGGAAUCUACUUUUUCGUGGGGGAUAACGUAGGGAAACUUACGCUAAUACCGCAUACGACCUACGGGUGAAAGCAGGGGAUCUUCGGACCUUGCGCGAUUGAAUGAGCCGAUGUCGGAUUAGCUAGUUGGCGGGGUAAAGGCCCACCAAGGCGACGAUCCGUAGCUGGUCUGAGAGGAGGAUCAGCGACACGGGAACUGAGACACGGUCCAGACUCCUGAGGGAGGGAGCAGUGGGGAAUAUUGGACAAUGGGCGCAAGCCUGAUCCAGCCAUACCGCGUGGGUGAAGGAGACCUUCGGGUUGUGAAGCCCUUUUGUUGGGAAAGAAAAGCAGCAGGUUAAUACCCCGCUGUUCUGACGGUACCCAAAGAAUAAGCACCGGCUAACUUCGUG
rnacentral:rRNA from 1 species